UACGAGGGGGGCAAGCGUUGUUCGGAAUUAUUGGGCGUAAAGGGUGCGUAGGCGGUUUGAUAAGUCACAUGUGAAAUCUUCGGGCUCAACCCGAAGUCUGCAUGCGAAACUGUCGGGCUUGAGUAUGGGAGAGGUGAGUGGAAUUUCCGGUGUAGCGGUGAAAUGCGUAGAUAUCGGAAGGAACACCUGUGGCGAAAGCGGCUCACUGGACCAUAACUGACGCUGAUGCACGAAGGCUAGGGGAGCAAACAGG
rnacentral:rRNA from 1 species